UGGGGAAUUUUUGGCAAUGGACGCAAGUCUGACCAAGCAAUACCGUGUGAAGGAUGAAGGCUUUAGGGUUGUAAACUUCUUUUCCGAUUGAGGAAGUUCUGACAGUAUUUCGGGAAUAAGCAUCGGCUAACUUUCGUGCCAGCAGCCGCGGUAAUACGGGGGAUGCAAGCGUUAUCCGGAUUUAUUGGGCGUAAAGCGUUCGUAGAUGGUUGUUUAAGUUUAAUGUUAAAUUCCAAGGCUUAACCUUGACGAUGCGUUAAAAACUGGGCGACUUUAGUACAAUAGGGGUAAAGGGAAUUCCCAGUGUAGCGGUGAAAUGCGUAGAUAUUGGGAAGAACGCCUAUGGCGAAAGCACUUUACUGGGUUUUUACUGAAAUUGAGGAACGAAAGCUAGGGGAGC
rnacentral:rRNA from 1 species